UACACUCCUACGGGAGGCAGCAGUGGGGAAUAUUGGACAAUGGGCGCAAGCCUGAUCCAGCCAUGCCGCGUGAGUGAUGAAGGCCCUAGGGUUGUAAAGCUCUUUCACCGGUGAAGAUAAUGACGGUAACCGGAGAAGAAGCCCCGGCUAACUUCGUGCCAGCAGCCGCGGUAAUACGAAGGGGGCUAGCGUUGUUCGGAUUUACUGGGCGUAAAGCGCACGUAGGCGGACUAUUAAGUCAGGGGUGAAAUCCCGGGGCUCAACCCCGGAACUGCCUUUGAUACUGGUAGUCUUGAGUUCGAGAGAGGUGAGUGGAAUUCCGAGUGUAGAGGUGAAAUUCGUAGAUAUUCGGAGGAACACCAGUGGCGAAGGCGGCUCACUGGCUCGAUACUGACGCUGAGGUGCGAAAGCGUGGGGAGCAAACAGGAUUAGAUCCCGUGUAGUCCCAUGA
rnacentral:rRNA from 1 species